GCCGCGGGGUCUGUGGGGUUUGGGGAAUGGCCGGUGUCCCCUGCAGGUGUUCCGGUACCUGCGGACGCUCCUGCCCGAGAGCGGCUUCAGCAUCCAGCGCUGCACCCGCUACAGCCGCGACACCAACGGCGCCAGGGUGGUGUCCACCCGCGCCUGGCGCAAGCACGAGACGCUGGAGCUGCUGGGGGGCUGCGGGGUGGAGCUGCGGGGCUCGGACCGGGCGCUGCUCCGGGCGGGCGACAACGACUUCAGCCUCAUGUACUCCACACGGCGCCGGAAAACCCAGCUCUGGCUGGGGCCCGCGGCCUUCAUCAACCACGAUUGCCAUCCCAACUGCAGGGUGAGUUUCAGGAGGGUUUUUGGGGGAGAAAUGGUGGUUUUUGAGGGAGAAAUGGUGUUUUUUGGGGGAGAAAUGGUGGGUUUUGGGGUGUGGUUUGUGCUGGGGGACGUGAGGGAAAGAUGGCGGAGAACAUGAGGGGAAAAGAGCGGGAAACGUGAGGGGAAAAGCGGUGGGAAAUCCGAAGGGGGAAAUGGUGGUAAAAAGCAAUGGAGAAAUGCAGGGAGUGUGAGGGAAAACGACAGGAAACAUGGGGGGAAAAUGGCAGGAGGCGUGAGGGGAGAAGUGGUGGGAAACACGAAAGAAAAAUGGGAAAUUUGAGGGAUAAAGGGUGGAAAACGGGAGAGGAAAAUAAGAGAAAGCGUGGAGGAAAAUAGAGUGGAACAGGAGGAAAAUGUGGGUGGGAAACGUGAGGGAGAAAAGGGUUGGAAACGUGAGAGGAGGAAAAAUCGU
rnacentral:lncRNA from 1 species